GGGUCCGUAGGCGGACCUGUAAGUCAGUGGUGAAAUCUCAUAGCUUAACUAUGAAACUGCCAUUGAUACUGCAGGUCUUGAGUAAAUUUGAAGUGGCUGGAAUAAGUAGUGUAGCGGUGAAAUGCAUAGAUAUUACUUAGAACACCAAUUGCGAAGGCAGGUCACUAAGAUUUAACUGACGCUGAUGGACGAAAGCGUGGGUAGCGAACAGGAUUAGAUACCCUGGUAGUCCACGCCGUAAACGAUGCUAACUCGUUUUUGGAUUUUCGGAUUCAGAGACCAAGCGAAAGUGAUAAGU
rnacentral:rRNA from 1 species